GAAAUGCGAUAAGUAGUGUGAAUUGCAGAAUUCAGUGAAUCAUCGAAUCUUUGAACGCACAUUGCGCCCUUUGGUAUUCCUUAGGGCAUGCCUGUUCGAGCGUCAUCUAAACCUUCAAGCCCUGCUUGGUGUUGGGUGCCUGUCCCGCCUCCGCGCGCGGACUCACCUCAAAUCCAUUGGCGGCCCCCGCGUCGGCCACGAGCGCAGCAGAAACGCGAACUCGUGAGCCCGUCCGGGCGGCUCCCAGAAGCUACAGCCACCCAGUUUGACCUCGGAUCAGGUAGGGAUACCCGCUGAACUUAAGC
rnacentral:misc_RNA from 1 species